rnacentral:rRNA from 1 species
UGAACGCUGGCGGCGUGCUUAACACAUGCAAGUCGAACGAUGAAGCUGGAGCUUGCUCCAGUGGAUUAGUGGCGAACGGGUGAGUAACACGUGAGCAAUCUGCCCUUGACUCUGGGAUAACUGCGGGAAACUGUAGCUAAUACCGGAUAUGACACCUUGGGGCAUCCCGGGGUGUGGAAAGAAUUUCGGUCAAGGAUGAGCUCGCGGCCUAUCAGCUUGUCGGUGAGGUAAAGGCUCACCAAGGCGACGACGGGUAGCCGGCCUGAGAGGGUGACCGGCCACACUGGAACUGAGACACGGUCCAGACUCCUACGGGAGGCAGCAGUGGGGAAUAUUGCACAAUGGGCGAAAGCCUGAUGCAGCAACGCCGCGUGAGGGAUG